rnacentral:rRNA from 1 species
CGGUAUCCUAACCGUGCGAAGGUAGCGUAAUCACUUGUUCUUUAAAUGUGGACUAGUAUGAAUGGCAUCACGAAGGUUAUACUGUCUCCUUUUUCUAAUCAGUGAAACUAAUCUCCCCGUGAAGAAGCGAGGAUAAAACUAUAAGACGAGAAGACCCUAUGGAGCUUUAAACAUUUAUAACACUUGCUAAAUAAAAUACAAAUUUCAGAAUUAUUUACUCUUUAAGCAACUUGUCUAUAAGUUUUUGGUUGGGGUGACCG